rnacentral:rRNA from 1 species
UGGGGAAUAUUGGACAAUGGGCGAAAGCCUGAUCCAGCAAUGCCGCGUGAGUGAAGAAGGCCUUAGGGUUGUAAAGCUCUUUCGCCUGCGACGAUGAUGACGGUAGCAGGAGAAGAAGCCCCGGCUAAUUCCGUGCCAGCAGCCGCGGUAAUACGGAAGGGGCUAGCGUUGUUCGGAAUCACUGGGCGUAAAGCGCGCGUAGGCGGCUUGGCAAGUGAGGCGUGAAAGUCCUGGGCUCAACCUGGGGACUGCGCUUCAGACUGCUUGGCUUGAGUCCGGAAGAGGGUGGUGGAAUUCCGAGUGUAGAGGUGAAAUUCGUAGAUAUUCGGAGGAACACCGGCGGCGAAGGCGGCCACCUGGUCCGGAACUGACGCUCAAGUGCGAAAGCGUGGGGAGCAAACAGG